GACAGAGGGUGCGAACGUUGUUCGGAAUUACUGGGCGUAAAGCGCGUGUAGGCGGCAGCGCAAGUCGGGCGUGAAAUCCCACGGCUCAACCGUGGAAGUGCACUCGAAACUGCGCAGCUAGAGUCCUGGAGAGGAAGGUGGAAUGCUUGGUGUAGAGGUGAAAUUCGUAGAUAUCAAGCGGAACACCGGUGGCGAAGGCGGCCUUCUGGACAGUGACUGACACUGAUGAGCGAAAGCCAGGGGAGCAAACGGG
rnacentral:rRNA from 1 species